CUCGAUUGGUGAACCAGCGGAGGGAUCAUUACCGAGUUUACGACUCCCAAACCCAAUGUGAACGUUACCAAACUGUUGCCUCGGCGGGAUCUCUGCCCCGGGUGCGUCGCAGCCCCGGACCAAGGCGCCCGCCGGAGGACCAACCAAAACUCUUAUUGUAUACCCCCUCGCGGGUUUUUUAUAAUCUGAGCCUUCUCGGCGCCCCUCGUGGGCGUUUCGAAAAUGAAUCAAAACUUUCAACAACGGAUCUCUUGGUUCUGGCAUCGAUGAAGAACGCAGCGAAAUGCGAUAAGUAAUGUGAAUUGCAGAAUUCAGUGAAUCAUCGAAUCUUUGAACGCACAUUGCGCCCGCCAGUAUUCUGGCGGGCAUGCCUGUCCGAGCGUCAUUUCAACCCUCGAACCCCUCCGGGGGGUCGGCGUUGGGGAUCGGCCCUCCCUCUGCGGGGGCCGUCUCCGAAAUCCAGUGGCGGUCUCGCCGCAGCCUCUCCUGCGCAGUAGUUUGCACACUCGCACCGGGAGCGCGGCGCGUCCACAGCCGUUAAACACCCAACUUUCUGAAAUGUUGACCUCGGAUCAGGUAGG
rnacentral:rRNA from 1 species